UCGAGAAUCUUCGGCAAUGGGCGCAAGCCUGACCGAGCGACGCCGCGUGCGGGAUGAAGGCCUUCGGGUUGUAAACCGCUGUCAGAGAGGCGGAAAUAUAGGGGGGUUCUCCCUUCUAUUUGACCUAUUCUCAGAGGAAGUGCGGGCUAAGUCCGUGCCAGCAGCCGCGGUAACACGGACCGCACGAACGUUAUUCGGUAUCACUGGGCUUAAAGGGUGCGUAGGCGGCCUAGCAAGUUGGGUGUGAAAGCCCUCGGCUCAACCGAGGAAUUGCGCUCAAUACUGUUGGGCUCGAGAGAGACAGAGGUAAGCGGAACUAAUGGUGGAGCGGUGAAAUGCGUUGAUAUCAUUAGGAACACCGGUGGCGAAGGCGGCUUACUGGGUCUUUUCUGACGCUGAGGCACGAAAGCCAGGGGAGCGAACGG
rnacentral:rRNA from 1 species